UACAGAGGUCUCAAGCGUUGUUCGGAUUCAUUGGGCGUAAAGGGUGCGUAGGCGGCGCGGUAAGUCGGAUGUGAAAUCUCGGAGCUUAACUCCGAAACUGCAUUCGAUACUGCCGUGCUUGAGGACUGGAGAGGAGACUGGAAUUUACGGUGUAGCGGUGAAAUGCGUAGAUAUCGUCAAGAACACCUAUUGCGAAGGCAGCUAACUAAGCUUUAACUGACGCUGAGGCACGAAAGUGUGGGGAUCAAACAGG
rnacentral:rRNA from 1 species